ACAUCAGACAUUUCCUAAGUAACUCCUUAAAUCGCUCCCAAGCUUCAUACAACAUCUCAUCCUCUGAUUGUCAAAAAGAUGUGAUAUCAUUUAUUAACUU
rfam:Gossypium hirsutum cultivar TM-1 chromosome 7, whole genome shotgun sequence